UCGACGGAUUUUCCUCUUACUAUAAAUUUCAUUGUUGUCGAUAUUGACAU
rnacentral:tRNA from 2 species